rnacentral:lncRNA from 1 species
CAAAGUUAUUUUGGCUUUGUUUACCUAUGUUAAGAAGCCUGAGAAGCAAAAAAUAAUUGACUGGUCUGCAGCACAGCAUGAAGAAUUACAACUGCAUGCAAUUGCCACUUUGUCAUCAGUGGCUCCUUUAUUAAUAGAAGAAUACAUGUCAUGCCAGGGAAAUGCUCGAGUCCUUGCAUUUCUAGAAUGGUGUGAGAGUGAAGAUUUCGUGGGGGAAAAUCAAG